GGAAUCUUGGACAAUGGGGGAAACCCUGAUCCAGCCAUGCCGCGUGAGCGAUGAAGGCCUUAGGGUUGUAAAGCUCUUUCGCUGGGGAAGAUAAUGACGGUACCCAGUAAAGAAGCCCCGGCUAACUCCGUGCCAGCAGCCGCGGUAAUACGGAGGGGGCUAGCGUUGUUCGGAAUUACUGGGCGUAAAGCGCACGUAGGCGGAUCAGUAAGUUGGAGGUGAAAUCCCAGGGCUCAACUCUGGAACUGCCUUCAAAACUACUGGUCUUGAGUUCGAGAGAGGUGAGUGGAAUUCCGAGUGUAGAGGUGAAAUUCGUAGAUAUUCGGAGGAACACCAGUGGCGAAGGCGGCUCACUGGCUCGAUACUGACGCUGAGGUGCGAAAGCGUGGGGAGCAAAC
rnacentral:rRNA from 1 species